rnacentral:rRNA from 1 species
AAAAAAAUUAAUUUUUAAUUAAAUAUAAUAAUUUAAAUUAUUAUGUUUAAUGUAUUGUAUUUUAAUAAAGUAAAAUAUCUAAUAAAUAAAUAAUUGAAAAAACAAUUUAAAAUUAAAGUUUAAGUAUUUAAAAAGAAAAAAUAUAAAAAUUUGAUAGUGUAAAAGUAAUGAGAAUGAAAUUUUAUAAAUAAAAGUUUUUUUAAAUUUAAAAAAGAAAAUUUUUAUUAUUGUAUCUUGUGUAUCAGAGUUUAAUAAAUAAAAAUUUAAAGCAAAUAUUUAAUUUUCUCGAAAAAUAAAGAUUUAAUUAAUUAAUUUAGUUAAUGUUUAAAAAUUAUUAAAAAUAAUUAAUUGGAAAUGAAAAGUUAUUCGUUUUAUUUAUAUCUAGUUAUUUAAGAAAUAAAUUUAAUUUAGAUUAAUGGUAAUAGAAAAAAAAUUUUUAAUAAUAUAUAUAUAUAUAUAUAUAUAUAAUUUAUAUAUUUGAUAAGUAUUUUAAAGUUUAAUAAUUAAUUAAUUUAUAUAGGGAUAAUCUUAUAUAUUAAUAAUUACAUAAAAAUUUUUAUUGUUAAUAAUUUAGUAAAAUUAAAAUUUUUAUAUUUAUUAAAAUUUUUAAUAAAAUAAUUAUUUUAAAAACAUUAUUUAAAAUUUAAAUAAAUAUUAAAAAUUUAUUAAAUAUUCAUUUAAAAUUUAAUUUAAUGAGUAAAAAUGUUAAAAUUAGUAUAAUAUAAUUAAAAUUUAAGUAUUUAAGAAUUAAUUUAAAUGAAUUAGGCAAAAAUUUAUAAAAUAAUUAAUAAUUUUAUAAUUAUAUUUACCUGUUUAACAAAAACAUGUCUUUUUGAAGUAGAAAUUAAUUUAAAGUCUAAUCUGCCCACUGAAUGAAAUUUUUAAAGGGCUGCAGUAAUUUGACUGUGCUAAGGUAGCAUAAUAAAUAGUUUUUUAAUUUGAAACUAGAAUGAAUGAUUGAAUAAGAUAUAAACUAUAUAGAUUAAUUAAAUUAUCAUAGAAUUUUUUUUUUCUAUUAAAAAAUAGAAAUUAUAUAAAUAGACGAGAAGACCCUAUAGAUUUUAAUUUAAAUUUAAUUAAAAAUUAAAAUAAUUAAAAUUUGGUUUAUUUUAAAUGAUAAUUAAAUUAAAAUUUAAUUAAAUUUUAAUUUAAUUGGGGUGAUUAAAAAAAAAUAUAGAACUUUUUUAAUUAAAAAAUAUUUAGUUAUUCAUAAAUUAGUGAAUAUAAAGGAUCUUAUAAAUAUAUUAUAGAUUAAUAGAUUAAGUUACCUUAGGGAUAACAGCGUUAUUUUAAUUUUAAGAUCUUAUUGAAAUUAAAGAUUGCGACCUCGAUGUUGGAUUAAAAUUAAUAAUUAUUGAAGUAGAUAGUUUAUUUAGUCUGUUCGACUAUUAAUAUUUUACAUGAUCUGAGUUCAAACCGGUGUGAGCCAGGUUGGUUUCUAUCUUUUAUAAAUUUAAUUUAUUUAGUACGAAAGGAAUAAUAUUUUUAAAAUAAAGUUUAUUUAAUUAAA